rnacentral:rRNA from 1 species
AAAGAAUUUCGGUAUGGGAUGGGGAUGCGUUCCAUUAGUUAGUUGGCGGGGUAACGGCCCACCAAGACAACGAUGGAUAGGGGUUCUGAGAGGAAGGUCCCCCACAUUGGAACUGAGACACGGUCCAAACUCCUACGGGAGGCAGCAGUGAGGAAUAUUGGUCAAUGGACGGGAGUCUGAACCAGCCAAGUAGCGUGAAGGAUGACUGCCCUAUGGGUUGUAAACUUCUUUUAUAUGGGAAUAAAACGUUCCACGUGUGGAAUUUUGUAUGUACCAUAUGAAUAAGGAUCGGCUAACUCCGUGCCAGCAGCCGCGGUAAUACGGAGGAUCCGAGCGUUAUCCGGAUUUAUUGGGUUUAAAGGGAGCGUAGGUGGAUUGUUAAGUCAGUUGUGAAAGUUUGCGGCUCAACCGUAAAAUUGCAGUUGAAACUGGCAGUCUUGAGUACAGUAGAGGUGGGCGGAAUUCGUGGUGUAGCGGUGAAAUGCUUAGAUAUCACGAAGAACUCCGAUUGCGAAGGCAGCUCACUGGACUGCAACUGACACUGAGGCUCGAAAGUGUGGGUAUCAAACAGGAUUAGAUACCCUGGUAGUCCACACAGUAAACGAUGAAUACUCGCUGUUUGCGAUAUACAGCAAGCGGC